UACAGAGGUCUCAAGCGUUGUUCGGAUUCAUUGGGCGUAAAGGGUGCGUAGGUGGCGCCGUAAGUCGGGUGUGAAAUUUCGGAGCUUAACUCCGAAACUGCAUUCGAUACUGCGGUGCUUGAGGACUGGAGAGGAGACUGGAAUUCAUGGUGUAGCAGUGAAAUGCGUAGAGAUCAUGAGGAAGACCAGUGGCGAAGGCGGGGUCUCUGGGACAGUUCCUGACACUGAGGCACGAAGGCCAGGGGAGCAAACGGG
rnacentral:rRNA from 1 species